rnacentral:rRNA from 1 species
GUAGGUGGCAAGCGUUGUCCGGAAUUAUUGGGCGUAAAGCGCGCGCAGGCGGUUCUUUAAGUCUGAUGUGAAAGCCCACGGCUCAACCGUGGAGGGUCAUUGGAAACUGGAGAACUUGAGUACAGAAGAGGAAAGCGGAAUUCCACGUGUAGCGGUGAAAUGCGUAGAGAUGUGGAGGAACACCAGUGGCGAAGGCGGCUUUCUGGUCUGUAACUGACGCUGAGGCGCGAAGGCGUGGGGAGCAAACAGGAUUAGAUACCCUGGUAGUCCACGCCGUAAACGAUGAGUGCUAAGUGUUAGGGGGUUUCCGCCCCCCUUAGUGCUGCAGCUAACGCAUUAAGCACUCCGCCUGGGAGUACGGCCGCAAGGCUG